UUUAAGUUGUAGUGAUGGGUUUAUAUACCUAACGUGUUUGACCAUCUAUCUUAUUUAAUAUUUUUUUAUGAUUAGUAUUUUAAUUGUUAUUAGAUGAUAAAACAUGAAUAAUGCUUUAUGCAUGACUUGUUUUUAUUUAUUUUUUCAUAAAAUUUUAAAUAGGAUGAACGGUCAAACGUGAGACAUGGAAACUCACAACUGCGUUUAAA
rfam:Oryza sativa Japonica Group DNA, chromosome 3, cultivar: Nipponbare, complete sequence.